rnacentral:lncRNA from 1 species
GGUUGAUCUAGGGAUCCUAGCCACAGUGAAUGGGGUCCAUGUGUGACCUGUGAAGUCCUUGCCCUAGGGAGUGCACACCCGGCUCUUCUGUCCUCAGCAGCUCCUGCAAUGAGCACCGGUGCCUGUGUGUGUUGAUGUGUCUGAGUGUCUGUUUGUCUCUCUGUGUGUGAGCAUGUUGUCAUUUGCUUCUGUGUAUCCUUAGGUGCCUAUGUUUCCUCAUGCCUGCAUACAUGCCUUAUUGUGUCCUUGUGUGUCUGUGUGUACCUUUAUACUUAAAAUAUCUAUAUAGCUUUAAAACUUUAUUAUUACUAUUUGGUGAGUGUGUGUAAGUGUGCAUGUGCAUUGACAUGUGAGAGAGUGGGCACAUGUGUGCCAUGGCCUGUGUGUGGAGGCUCAAGGAGAGCUUAGUGGAGUUAGUUUUCUCUUUCCACCUUUACGUGGCUUCUGGGGACUAAACUGAGGUGCUGAAAUGACUGCAGCAAGUGCUUUACCCACUGAGCUCUCUUGCUGGCCCCUACAUGGAUGUUUCAAUAUCGUCCGACAUUUGCCAAGCACUUAGUAUCUGUGCGCAAAUGUGGUAACAGCUUCAUGUAGACUACAGUUUAAUUUUCCCCAUUUGCCAGGAGAAAACAGAGGCACAGGGGAAUUAUUUGUCUGUAGAGCAAAUAACUUGUUUAGAAGGCAAAUUUACUUAUUGGCUAAUAAGUAAAUGGUACAGCUUGGGCCGUCUUUGCCGGCUCUGUGCAUAUGCUUGUAUGUGUCCCUGUGCGUCUGUGUGCAUACGUGUCUAUAUGUGUCAUUGUGUCCCAGUGUUUCUAUAGGUCUCUGUAUAUGCCUAUGUGCUUCUGUCUCUCUAUGUAUACAUGACUGUGUAUCUUUGUGUCUCUGUAUUUGUGCCUUUAUGUGUUCCUGUGUUUAUGUGUAACAAUGUGCGGAUGCCCAGGUGCAUUUGUGUGUGUGUGUGUGUGUGAGCAUGUGCACAUGUAUGUACAUUAUACAUAUACAUACACAUAAAUGCAUGGCACUUGCAUCCAUAUGCCAUGUAUGUGUGUGUGUGUUUGUUUGUAUGCACGGUGUACCUGUGGAGGUCACAGGGCAACCUUGGAUAUUGGCCUUUGACUUUUACCUUGCUUGAGGCAGGGUUUCUUGUUCCCACUGUGACCUUCUGUGGAUUCUCCUGCCUCAGCCUCCCUUCAUCUUGUGGAAGCACUGAGAUUAUAGAUCUAUUCUGCCCCAUCUGGCUUUACAUGGGCUCUGGGGAUUUGAACUAAGAUCCUUAUGUGUGUGUGGCAAGCCCACCAGGCUGCCUCCCUAAUCAUCAUACUGAAAUGUAGUUGUCACUGUAACAGUAGCCACUGUGCCUUAUGACCACUGUGUGCUCAAUGCCCCACAUAGCACCCAACACACACUGGGUCUACACCAACGUGGCCAGACUGAAAAAAGAGGGGAUAGAUGAGGCUCAGGGUCAGUGAUGGAUAAUUUACUGAAGUCAUAGGAAGACAAAUGUAAUAAGGUAGAAAUAAAGUCAGACCCUCUGUCAGUCUCCAUCCAGGAGGGCUUGAAAGGGCCCAGCAGCUGCCCAGUGACAACUGUCAUCGCUCACCCAGUGAUCUGUUAAUCAGGGCAGGUAGCAACAUCCCUGUUCCUACCCACUAGAUGUCAGUAGCAACCUCCAAUCCUUCCAGUUGUGACAACAGAAAUGCCAGGAGAUGUCAAAUAUUCCCCACAGGACAGCAGUGCCCCACUGAGAUCCACGGAGUUACAGUGACUUCAUUGCACAGCUGUUCCAUCAGGUCCCAGGCAGGUGACACCCACAGGCUAGCAAAGAAAAUGGUGGGAGAGGGGAGCUUGCAACUUAGCUGCGACGAAAUGAGUCAUCUGGGACUCUUCCUGCAGAUACUACCCCAUGACAGGACCUGGGAGAGCAAAAGCAAAGCCUUGGAAUCCCUACAGGCUUCCAAGUGUAACUGGCUUGACCCACGCUACCAUCUCGUCAGCAAGAACGCACGCAGGACACUCGGAUCCGUCUGCAGUAAAGCUUUAAUGAAUCUCAAGAGAUAGAUGAUCAGCUUCAGGAGAGGAGACCCAGAGAGCAGAAAACCCUUCCCUUAUAUAGGCUGCGAAGUAAGUUUGGAGACGUGCACUAGCCGGAUUGGCUGCCCACCAUCAGCCAGAUGACGCCAUGGGAGAGGCAGGGCUCAGGUAAUGGAAAGAUACCCUGACGCCUGCGCACACUACUUGUUUUUCACCACGAGCAACAGAUGUCAGCGCCAUUUUGUAAUGGCGACCGUGAGGGCGGCUCCUCACACUGGCUAGUUUUGUGUCAACUUGACACAGCUGGAGUU